UUCAGGUUGGUCUGUAUCCUGUCAAUAGAGCCAAUGAACAAGAAGGAGGACGCGCAUUUUGGGCUGCACCUUUACUGCCAUGGCGCCCUGCUGUGCAUAGGUGGAGUAGGCCUGUAAUAUUGGUUUAGGACUGAUAGAUGCGGAUUAGCUGUAGGAGUUGUGGAAACAGACUUUAAAAAAGCCCAAACUGUGGAUGUGACGUUAACAACCAAACCGCUGCUGAUGAAAACGGGCCACAGUACAGAAAUGAACUGACAUUUGUAGACAAGCAAAUGAAGAAAGCCUCACUAAAGCACCACGAUGAUCAAGUCGAGGCAUAAAAACGUUGAAGCAAGUUUCAAAACGCCCCGGGGCUGAAACGGAUACUAAUGAAUUCACCUGUGUACGCGCAUAGUUAUUUGCGCUCCUUUCCAGAUUGGCACGGUCUAAAGGGGAAUGUUGUCAUCCUGGACAUCCCGUCUUUCCAGUGCCAUGGAACUGAACGUCGCCAUGUCAUAGAGGAAGAAAGUAAAGAGCCCUAGUCUUAAGAGAAAACGUGGCCGAUUGGUGCUGCUGAAGCUGUUUCAACCUGAGACGGGGCCGUGAAAUUGGAGAGCCAGGCAGGCAUUAACCUGACUGGAUGAAAUGGGACAGCAGGCUUGCCUUUGGGAGAACAAUUCGUUUGGUUGUUAGCUUCGAGAUCCUAUCUG